rnacentral:rRNA from 1 species
CGAACCGUGCGAACGUUGUUCGGAAUCACUGGGCUUAAAGGGCGCGUAGGCGGGCGGCCAAGUCCGGGGUGAAAGCCCCCAGCUCAACUGGGGAAGUGCCUCGGAUACUGGUCGCCUCGAGGGAGGUAGGGGCGUGCGGAACUUCCGGUGGAGCGGUGAAAUGCGUAGAUAUCGGAAGGAACACCGGUGGCGAAAGCGGCGCGCUGGACCUCUGCUGACGCUGAGGCGCGAAAGCCAGGGGAGCAAACGGGAUUAGAUACCCCGGUAGUCCUGGCCCUAAACGUUGGGCACCAGGUAGUGGACUUACAUGGGUUCACUGCCGAGGCAAAAGUGUUAAGUGCCCCGCCUGGGGAGUAUGGUCGCAAGGCUG